rnacentral:rRNA from 1 species
AAUUUUGGACAAUGGGCGCAAGCCUGAGACAGCCAUGCCGCGCGAGUGAAGAAGGCCUUCGGGGUGUAAAGCUCUUUCGGACGGAAAGAAAUCGCGCAGCCAAAUACCCUGCGCGGUUGACGGACCCGUCAUAAAAACACCCGGCAAACUCGUGGCCAGCAGCCCCGGUGAUACGGAGGGGGCGGGCGUGAAUCGGAAUUACUGGGGGUAAAACGUGCGCAGGCGGUUGAUUAAAACAGGGGUGAAAUCCCCGGGCGUAACAUGCGAACUGCGCUUGUGACUGGUCAGCUAGAGUACGGCAGAGGGGGGUGGAAUUCCACGUGUAGCAGUGAAAUGCGUAGAGAUGUGGAGGAACACCGAUGGCGAAGGCAGCCCCCUGGGCCGAUACUGACGCUCAUGCACGAAAGCGUGGGUAGCAAACAGG